GAUCAACGCUGGCGGCGUGCCUUACGCAUGCAAGUCGAACGGGCCAUGAUUUUCGGAUUGUGGUCCGUGGCGGACGGGUGAGGAACACGUACGUGACCUGCCCAUCAGAGGGGGAUACCCCGCCGAAAGGCGGGACAAGACCGCAUAAGCUCUUUGUGGUGCGCCGCGAAGAGGAAAGCCCCGAGAGGGGUGCUGAUGGAGGGGCGUGCGGCGGAUUAGCCAGUUGGUGGGGAACGGCCUACCAAAGCGACGAUCCGUAGCUGGUCUGAGAGGACGGCCAGCCACACGGGGACUGAGACACUGCCCAGACUCCUACGGGGGGCUGCAGUAACGAAUCUUCCGCAAUGCACGAAAGUGUGACGGAGCGACGCCGCGUGUGGGACGAA
rnacentral:rRNA from 1 species